rnacentral:lncRNA from 1 species
GCUGCUGUAGCCCCUACGUGGUGAGUAGAUCGUCUCCACAGAAAUCAGCGGAGGCUUCCACAGUCCCUGGUUGGAAUGGAACCGGCGGUGAGGAUGAGAGGCGCUGAAGACCAGAAGACCCAGGGCGUGAACGGGGCGUGUCAUCCCUGGAGUUUCAGUAGAAUUUCAGGCCUGUCUGCUUGAGCAGCAGAGGAGGAGUUUCUGUGUGCCUGUGAGAGACUGUGUGUGUGUGUGUGUGUGUGUGUGUGUGUGAGAUGAAUGAACAGGGUUGUGUACGUGUGUGUGCGUUAGACAAAUGAACAGUGUUGUGUACCUGUGUGAAUUGUCACUGUGACUCCAGGCUCUAGGCUCUGCAGAUUCCUCAGCCCUAUCGCCUCACAGACACUUGGGAUGUGCAGCAGGUAAAAGAGAGAAGCCAGAUUCAUGGAGGCGUGAAGGAUCCCAGCAAGAAAACACAGACUUGAUCUUGAGACGAGAUUUUUGAAAUUGGUUGCGGCCUCAAGGCAGGCUCUGAGAAGACUCGAUAAAGAGUUCUCAGGAAUAGGCAUCCCUCCUGGAUAUUUCCCCCUUGGAAGCGCCGAGGAGCCAGCUCUAUGUUUGUAACCAUAGCAUUUCUAAAGCUCCAGCCCCAGGAACCUGCUGUGAAUUAGAGACAGAUUCCACCCUAGGCAUCACUGAUCUUGGCCUCUCUUGUAUUGGGAAGGUCAACACUGUUCCAGUUUCUCUCCUACUCCCAUCUGGUUGUGCUCGGUGAAGUAGGUGAGCAGUGCUACCCUUCUGUUAAAAAAAAAAAAAAAAAAAAGAUCCUGAAAGAGGAAAGAAUUUUUGCUACACAUCUGAAAGCUAAAGUCCAGAUAUAUACUUAGAAGUGGAAUGGCUGGGUCAUAUGGUAACUCUUUUGAGGAACUGCCAGAUUAUUAUCGAAAGUAUCCCUUUACAUUCCCCCCAGCGUAAGAGGGUUCCAGUUUCUCCACAUUCUUAGCAACACCUGUUAUUACCUUUCUUUUUAUUAUUGUCAUCCUCAUGAGUGUGAAGUGGGUAUUGUGGUUUUGAUUUGAAUUUCUCUGAUGACUCAUGGUGUUGAGCAUUUUUUCCUUUGUUUAUUGGCCGUUUGUACAUCUUUGGAGAAAUGUCUAUUCAAAUUCUUUGCCCCCUUUUUAAUUGCUUUUUUAAAAGUUGUAACCUAAUUUUCUUCACUGACAAUGUAACUUGAAUGUUUUUAUUCCCUUAAACAGCUUCCUAAACUUAGCAUUAAAUGGUUGCUUAAUAUUUCAUUAUAUGGAUGCCCUGUUACAUAUUUAAUUAAUCAGCUGUUGCUGAGCUCAGAAUGGUGAGAAUGCCUGCUUCUACAUGCUGUUCUCCUUUCAUAGAGUGAUCAGCUCACUUCUUUCUAUUCCUCUGGGCCACAUGGGAACUUCAGUCUUUAUAAUUUCAGAGAUAGUAACAUCUGAGAACGUGGCAGCAUCCUCUACUGUGUGGAGCACUGAUCACUGCACUAUUUCAGACGGACUUGUAAAUGAUUGUGAUACUGAAAAGCUACAGGAGCAGACUCUUUAUGAUCAACUCUUUAAAUUCAAAAUAUGAUUUCUAGAGCUUUUUUAUCCCUUAAUGUGACCCUCUAGAGAGGCCCUGGAGUGUUUGAAUUUAUGAAGGAUUUCUUUGAGAUUCAUUGAUCAUUCCAUUCUGUUUUCCUUGAAGCAUCAUUUUCUUGGUCCCUCGGGUGGCUUUCAUUUGGCCUUUCUUGUAUGGAACCUCUCUGCCACAGGAUUGUACUGGAAUUUUUCAAAAGCCUCAGCAUGCCAAAGUCCCAUUUCUUUUUUCAUAUGCAGAUAUUUCCUGCAUGUUGGAAACAAUUGAUUUUUUAACCAAAAUGGCUUAUUUCUAAGGUAGGUGCAAUUCCUGAACUGGAGCAGGGAGUCCAGUCCUCAUAGGUGGAGAGUGUAGUGACAAGAGGAUUUAUCCAAGUGACUUAGGGAAAACCAGUAAAAGGAAAACUGUUGUAUAUCAGUAUUCAAAACUCAGAGCCUUGAUAUUCUAAUUUGAGACAACUCAAAGACUUUAGGACUUGGGAGAAAACAAGGCCUCCUCACCGUACUCCAAAU